AUUCCAGCUCCAAUAGCGUAUAUUAAAGUUGUUGCAGCUAAAAAGCUCGUAGUUGGACUUCUGGGUUGUGAUUGUGGUCCGCCUAACGGUGUGCACUGUGGUUGCGACUCUUCUUCCCGUAGUUUGGGGGUGCACUUAGUUGUGUGCUUUUGGAAUAUGGGACCUUUACUUUGAAAAAAUUAGAGUGUUCAAAGCAGGCCUUCGCUUGAAUACAUUAGCAUGGAAUAAUAGAAUAGGACUUUGGUUCUAUUUUGUUGGUUUCUAGGACCGAAGUAAUGAUUAAUAGGGACAGUUGGGGGCAUUAGUAUUUAAUUGUCAGAGGUGAAAUUCUUGGAUUUAUGAAAGACUAACUACUGCGAAAGCAUUUGCCAAGGAUGUUUUCAUUG
rnacentral:rRNA from 1 species